GAUGAACGCUGGCGGCGUGCUUAACACAUGCCAGUCGAACGGUCAAGGCGGAGCCUGCCCUGCUGGAUCAGUGGCGAACGGGUGAGUAACACGUGAGCAAUCCGCCCCUGACUCUGGGAUAUGCGCUGGAAACGGCGUCUCAUACUGGAUACGAUCUGCGAAGGCAUCUUCUUCAGCUGGAAAGAACUUCGGUCAGGGAUAGGCUCGCGGCCUACCAGCUUGUUUGUGAGGUAGCGGCUCACCAAGGCGUCGACGGGUAGCCGGCCUGAGAGGGUGACCGGCGACACUGGGACUGAGACACGGCGCAGACGCCUACGGGAGGCAGCAGUGGAGAGUAUUGCACAAUGGGCGAAAGCCUGAUGCAGCAGCGCCGGGUGAGGGACAACGGCCUUCGAGUUGUAAACCUCUUUUAACAGGGAAGAAGCGAAAGUGACGGUACCUGCAGAGAAAGCGCCGGCUAACUACGUG
rnacentral:rRNA from 1 species